rnacentral:rRNA from 1 species
UACGGAGGGGGCUAGCGUUAUUCGGAAUUAUUGGGCGUAAAGGGCGCGUAGGCGGCCCGGUAAGUCAAAGGUGAAAUCCCUCGGCUCAACUGAGGAACUGCCUUUGAAACUGUCGGGCUUGAGGGCGGGAGAGGUCGGUGGAAUUCCCGGUGUAGUGGUGAAAUGCGUAGAGAUCGGAGGAACACCUGUGGCGAAGGCGGCCGACUGGGCCGACCCUGACGCUGAGGCGCGAAGGCGUGGGGAGCGAACGGG